UUGUGCCACUGGGAGGAAGGCAGCCACAAUCACCGCCAGCUGCUAGCCUCUGCGAUCGCGUCAUGCAAAAUGGACAGCUGUGGGUAAGCACAUAUGGCUUCAAGUGUAUCUGCCGGUACACACACUGCAAACGAUGGCUUAUACACAGGACAAUCAUCAGCAGGAAGGCAGACAACACAAUGCCCAGCCAAUAGCCAAUCUAACACACAUCGUUACAUGUACAAUCCAACGUUGAAUAAAUAAACUAAAACUA